CUCCGCCGAGGGCCGGGGCAGCAGCUGGAGGACCUGUGGGCUCUGCGGCCCUCACCUCCAGCUCUGUCACUCAAGCUCCCCGCUGUGUGCUUUCGGGUUGCUUUGUAUCUGGGCUUGCAAUGGAGCGUCCAGGUGACGAUUAGGACUGUCUCCUCACCGUAUUGGCCUAUAAGAAGAUAG
rnacentral:lncRNA from 1 species